CGUCCAUAUGAGCACCACGGCUAAAACCGUAACAUAUCUUCUAGUUGGAGCGGAGGCACCGAGAUUCCCUCCGUCAGUGGCCACCACAGCGGCAGACGAAGAAGGCUUUGUCCAAUUGCCUGGCGAGUGGGGAAAGAAAGGCGUGGUCCCUAUCCUGUCAACCUGACGUGUUCUUGAUUCCUCACUGUUUAUUCUAAUGCGAGCAGCGGUGUAGCUCUAGCUAGUCAGAUUCCAGCAAUAAUUUGGCUAUGGCUCGCUUGUGGUUGCUGAUUCUGCAUCAAGCCAUGACGAGCACAUAAAGUAUCCAUUUUCCACAGCCACUCGCCGUUCUGCUGAAUUGUUCAGGCCACCAUGAGGCGAAAUAGUAUCUUGCUUGUGUGCUUUAGUCUACGCCCCUAUGAUGGUCUCAAGGAAAUAUUGCCCGUCCAUGGUUGUUGAUUUCAUACACCAUUGUUCCCGGGAAAAGGAAAGAACCAGCUCUGCGAUUCCAAGAUACCGCAGGUACCAGCUUCGCUUUCGAUCCAAGAUAUAAAAGAAAAUUCAGCGAAAGCAGGAACUUUGAAGCUACCCUGGCGGAAGAAUCGACUGAAAGCGGCAGGGUGAAGGAAGGAUCCACUGCCGGGGAAAGAUGCGGCCUUACUUCGAUCCUGAGUAUGAGAACUUCAAUCAGCGCAUCAACCCUCCUCGGGUCUGCAUCGACAACAACACAUGCCGCGACUGCACCCUAGUGAAGGUGGACAGUAUGAACAAGAAUGGCAUUCUGCUGGAGGUGGUGCAGGUCCUGAGCGAUCUUGACCUCACCAUCAUGAAAGCGUACAUCACCUCGGAUGGCGGAUGGUUCAUGGACGUGUUCCAUGUGCUGGAUAAGCAAGGGCAGAAGGUGACCGAUGACAAGACCAUUCAGCACAUCGAGAAGGCCUUAGGUCCGGGCAGCAACAUACCGGGCGCGACGAAGGGCAGCAAUUCGCCUGGGAGAUCAGUCGGGAUGCACUCGAUCGGCGACCACACCGCCAUCGAGCUCAAGGGCCCCGACAGAACCGGCCUUCUCUCCGAGAUCUUUGCCGUCCUGGCGGAGCUCCAGUGCAACGUGAUGGCUGCCGAGGUGUGGACGCACAGGACGAGGGUGGCCUGUGUGGUGUACGUCAACGACGUGUCCUCGGGGCAGGCCAUCGAGGACGCGUGCCGUCUGGCCGGGAUCGAGGAGCGGCUGCGGCACGUGCUCCGCGGGCACGGCGGCGGAGACGAUGACGACGGCGACGGCCGGGGAGCGCACACCAACUUCUCCGCCGGCUCCACCCACGUGGACCGCCGGCUGCACCAGCUGAUGCACGCGGACAUGGACCUGGGCGGCGACGGUACGCCGCAGGGCCGUCCCGCGGACGACGACGGCACGGCGGUGACCGUGGAGCACUGCGAGGAGAAGGAUUACUCGGUGGUGAACGUGAGGUGCAGGGACCGGCCCAAGCUGCUGUUCGACAUCGUCUGCACGCUGACGGACAUGCAGUACGUCGUCUUCCACGCCGCUGUCACGUCCGAAGGCAUCUACGGCGUCCAGGAGCUGUACAUUCGUCGCAAGGACGGGCGCACGCUGCUGAAGGACGAGGCAGAGAAGGUGACCAAGUGCCUCGAAGCGGCGAUCUCCAGAAGAGUGUCCGAGGGAUUCACGCUUGAGCUCUGCGGGAGGGACAGGGUGGGGCUGCUGUCGGACGUGACGAGGGUGCUCCGGGAGCACGGCCUGACGGUGACGAGGGCCGACGUGACGACGGUGGGGGAGCAGGCCGUGAACGUCUUCUACGUGCGUGACGCGUCGGGGCAGCCGGUGGACAUGAAGGCCAUCGAGGGCCUUCGGGGACAGGUCGGCCAGACCGUCAUGCUCAACGUCAAGAAGGUGCCCGCUGACAAGGCGCCGGAGCGGACUGGUGGCAGCAUGGCCAAGACCAGCUUCUUCUCCUUCGGCGGCCUCUUCGCCAAACUCGGAGCAUAAUCUCCGUCGUGCAAAUUGUUGUAAAAUGGCCCCAACUAGAGUAGUCAGUAUGGAAGCUCUUGGUGUACCUUUUUCCAACAACUUUCCCCAUUUUCCUCGAUUUUUUCGAGCACCCGAUGAUCUUUCGAAGAGAAAGAUAAAGGAAUCUUUGUCCAAGAGGGAGAAAAGAGGUGCGAUGAUGAUGCCUAUAUUUUUCUCAACCUCGCGUAUUUUUGUUGAUCAAAUCGGGGCUUCAAGCUGUACCUACAUAGUACACCAUGAGUUGUUUCCAGCUCACGAAGAAAAUAUACCGGAACCUGACAUCAAUUUCUUCUAAAUUCUGGUGGGCUGCAACGCGUGGUGAACGCAAGGUACAUUGGAUUUCAUGGCAGAAAAUGUGUGCUUCGAAGAGGGAUGGAGGAAUGGGUUUCCGUGAUCCGGAGGCCUUCAAUCAAGCGUUGCUAGCAAAGCAAGCAUGAAGAAUCCUUCAGCAACCUAACUCCCUGUGUGCCCGUGUGCUCAAGGCACGUUACUUCAGCGCAGACUCGAUAACGACAGCUACAGCACCGGCGUCGGCCUCGUACACUUUUAGAAGCAUUCUUUGGGGAAGGGACCUGCUUCGGGAGGGCCUCGUUUGGCGGAUUCGUAAUGGAUGCGAUGUGUUAGACUGUAUUUACAUGUGUAUAUUGUAA
rnacentral:rRNA from 1 species